rnacentral:rRNA from 1 species
UACGUAGGGGGCUAGCGUUGUCCGGAUUUAUUGGGCGUAAAGAGCGUGUAGGCGGCCAGGUAGGUCCGGUGUGAAAACUCGAGGCUUAACCUCGAGAUGUCAUCGGAAACCAUCUGGCUAGAGUCCGGAAGAGGAGAGUGGAAUUCCCGGUGUAGCGGUGAAAUGCGCAGAUAUCGGGAAGAACACCAGUGGCGAAGGCGGCUCACUGGCCCGUAACUGACGCUGAGGCACGAAAGCGUGGGGAGCAAACAGG